rnacentral:rRNA from 1 species
GACGAACGCUGGCGGCGUGCUUAACACAUGCAAGUCGAACGGAAAGGCCCCAUUGGGGGUACUCGAGUGGCGCACGGGUGAGUAACACGUGAGUAACCUGCCCUUGACUUCGGGUUAACUUCAGGAAACUGGGGCUAAUAACGGAUAGGAAUCCUUGCUGCAUGGUGGGGGUUGGAAAGCUUCGGCGGUUUUGGAUGGACUCGCGGCUUAUCAGCUUGUUGGGGGGGUAGUGGCUUACCAAGGCUUUGACGGGUAGCCGGCCUGAGAGGGGGACAGGCCACAUUGGGACUGAGAUACGGCCCAGAGUCCUACGGGAGACAGCAGUGGGGAAUAUUGCACAAUGGGCGGAAGCCUGAUGCAGCAACGCCGCGUGCGGGAUGACGGCCUGCGGGUUGUAAACCGCUUUCAGCAGGGGCGAAGCUUGUGGUGACGGUACCUGCAGAAGAAGCACCGGCUAACUACGU